rnacentral:rRNA from 1 species
GUUGAACGCUGGCGGCAGGCCUAACACAUGCAAGUCGAACGAGUGGCGGACGGGCGAGUAAUGUCUUGGAAACUGCCUGAAGGAGGGGGAUAACUACUGGAACCGGUAGCUAAUACCGAGUUCCAUCCGAUGUGCCCAGAUGGGAUUAGCUAGUUGGUGGGGUAACGGCGCACCAAGGCGACGAUCCCUAGCUGGUCUGAGAGGCUGACCGGCCACACUGUAAAGGAGACACGGUCCAGACUCCUACGGGAGGCAGCAGUGGGGAAUAUUGCACAAUGGGCGCAAGCCUGAUGCAGCCAUGCCGCGUGUAUGAAGAAGGUCUUCGGGUCGUAAAGUACUUUCGGCGGGGAGGCGUUACCCGCAGAAGAAGCACCGGCUAACUCCGUGCCAGCAGCCGCGGUAAUAC